GGAAGCUGCUCUACAGCAUGCUUUAGGUUUCCGGGUGAGGGUUGGGCUCGUUGGUACCAUGUGGGAACUGCUGUGAAGAGUUGUUGCCUUCCAAGAUACACCCAAAUUCCCAGUUCCAACCCGUGUCAUUAAAAUUCCGCUGGCGUGAAAGAUGACCUCCUUAGCCCAGCAGCUGCAACGACUCGCCCUCCCUCAAAGUGAUGCCAGCCUCUUAUCUAGAGAUGAAGUUGCCUCUUUGUUGUUUGACCCUAAGGAAGCGGCCACAAUCGACAGGGACACCGCCUUUGCCAUUGGAUGCACUGGCCUGGAAGAGUUGCUUGGAAUUGAUUCUUCCUUUGAGCAGUUUGAAGCACCGUUGUUCAGUCAGCUAGCAAAAACCUUGGAGCGAAGUGUUCAGACCAAAGCAGUAAACAAACAGUUGGAUGAAAACAUUUCAUUAUUCCUUAUUCACUUGUCGCCUUACUUCCUGCUUAAGCCAGCGCAGAAGUGUCUGGAGUGGUUGAUUCACAGGUUCCAUAUACAUCUCUAUAAUCAAGAUAGCCUCAUUGCUUGUGUUCUGCCAUACCACGAGACAAGAAUAUUUGUGCGAGUCAUACAGCUUCUAAAAAUUAAUAAUUCAAAGCACAAAUGGUUCUGGUUGUUGCCAGUUAAGCAAUCUGGAGUGCCCUUAGCUAAAGGAACUUUGAUUACCCACUGCUACAAAGAUCUUGGAUUCAUGGAUUUCAUUUGCAGUUUGGUGACAAAAUCUGUGAAGGUUUUUGCUGAGUACCCGGGCAGCUCAGCUCAGUUGAGGGUGCUCUUGGCUUUCUAUGCUUCUACCAUAGUGUCAGCGCUGGUAGCUGCAGAGGACGUAUCAGACAAUAUCAUCGCCAAACUAUUUCCCUAUAUCCAAAAGGGAUUGAAAUCAUCUUUACCAGAUUACAGAGCUGCAACAUACAUGAUAGUAUGUCAGAUUUCUGUGAAAGUGACCAUGGAAGAUACCUUUGUGAAUUCAUUGGCAUCACAGAUCAUCAGAACAUUGACCAAGAUUCCCUCUUUGAUCAAGGAUGGAUUAAGUUGCUUGAUAGUGCUCCUGCAGAGACAGAAGCCAGAGAGCCUUGGGAAAAAGCCAUUCUCUCACUUAUGUAAUGUUCCUGAUCUUAUUACAAUACUUCAUGGGAUUUCUGAAGCUUACGAUGUCAGUCCUCUUCUGCGUUACAUGCUUCCCCAUCUGGUUGUCUCCAUCAUUCAUCAUGUUACAGGAGGAGAAACUGAAGGAAUGGAUGGGCAAAUCCACAGGAGACACUUAGAAGCUAUACUUACAAAAAUACCACUGAAGAACAACUUAGGCCAUUUGUUGGCUAGCCUUCUGUUUGAAGAGUAUAUUUCAUAUAGUUCACAGGAAGAAAUGGAUUCUAAUAAAGUGUCCUUGCUUAAUGAACAAUUUCUUCCACUCAUUAGGCUUUUAGAAAGCAAAUACCCCAGAACAUUAGAUGUUGUAUUAGAGGAACACUUAAAGGAAAUUGCAGAUCUGAAAAAACAAGAGCUUUUCCAUCAGUUUGUUUCUCUUUCUACAAGUGGAGGAAAGUAUCAGUUUUUAGCAGAUUCUGAUACUUCUUUGAUGCUCAGCCUGAAUCAUCCACUUGCUCCUGUGAGACUUCUGGCCAUUAAUCAUUUGAAAAAGAUCAUGAAAACAUCAAAGGAGGGUGUUGAUGAAUCUUUCAUAAAAGAAGCUGUUUUAGCCCGAUUAGGUGAUGAUAAUAUAGAUGUUGUUUUGUCGGCUAUAAGUGCUUUUGAGAUUUUCAAAGAACACUUCAGUUCAGAAGUGACGAUUUCAAAUCUUCUGAAUCUCUUUCAAAGAGCAGAACUUUCAAAGAAUAGAGAAUGGUACAAGGUACUUAAGAUAGCCACUGACGUACUAAUUAAAGAAGAGAUACUGAGUGAAAAUGAUCAGUUGUCAAAUCAGGUGGUUGUACGUUUGCUGCCAUUUAUGGUUAUCAAUAAUGAUGAUAUGGAAUCUGCUGAGAUGAAAAUUGCUAUAUAUUUAUCAAAAUCAGGAAUCUGCUCUCUGCACCCUCUAUUAAGAGGCUGGGAAGAAGCUCUUGAAAAUGUGAUUAAAAGCACAAAGCCAGGAAAACUAAUUGGUGUAGCAAAUCAGAAGAUGAUUGAGUUGUUGGCUGAUAAUAUAAAUUUAGGAGAUCCUUCUUCAAUGUUAAAGAUGGUGGAGGAUUUAAUAAGCGUGGGUGAGGAGGAGUCCUUUAACCUGAAGCAGAAAGUAACGUUUCACGUGAUCACGUCUGUGCUCGUCUCUUGUUGUUCAUCUUUAAAAGAAACCCACUUUCCAUUUGCAAUAAGAGUCUUCAGUUUGUUGCAGAAAAAAAUAAAGAAGCUUGAAAGUGUCAUUACUGCAGUGGAAAUCCCCUCAGAAUGGCACAUUGAACUGAUGUUAGACAGAGGGAUCCCAGUGGAGCUGUGGGCACAUUAUGUAGAAGAACUCAACAGCACUCAGAGGGUGGCCGUGGAGGACUCGGUUUUUCUUGUAUUUUCCUUGAAAAAUUUUAUUUAUGCACUGAAAGCUCCUAAAUCUUUUCCUAAAGGUGAUAUAUGGUGGAAUCCUGAACAACUGAAAGAAGACAGCAGGGACUAUCUGCACUUGCUCACUGGGCUGUUUGAGAUGAUGCUCAAUGGUGCCAAUGCUGUUCAUUUCAGAGUUCUGAUGAAACUUUUCAUAAAGGUACAUCUCGAAGAUGUUUUUCACUUAUUCAAGUUCUAUUCUGUUUUAUGGACCUAUGGUUCUAGCCUUUCAAAUCCACUAAACUGCAAUGUGAAAACAGUGCUGCAGACUCAAGCUCUUUAUGUGGGCUGUGCGAUGCUCUCAUCUCAGAAGACACAGUGUAAACACCAACUGGCAUCCAUAUCUUCUCCAGUGGUGACAUCUUUACUCAUUAACCUGGGAAGCCCCAUAAAAGAAGUUCGUAGGGCUGCCAUUCAGUGUCUCCAGGCCCUCAGUGGAGUGGCGUCCCCGUUUUCUCUGAUAAUAGAUCAUUUGAUUUCUAAAGCAGAGGAGAUCACUUCAGAUGCUGCCUAUGUUAUUCAGGAUUUGGCUACUUUAUUUGAGGAACUACAGAGAGAAAAGAAACUGAAAUCUCAUCAGAAGUUGUCUGAAACUUUGAAAAACUUACUUAGUUGUGUAUAUAGUUGCCCAUCUUAUAUAGCAAAAGAUUUGAUGAAAGUACUUCAGGGAGUCAACGGUGAGAUGGUGCUUUCUCAGCUGUUGCCUAUGGCUGAACAACUGCUAGAAAAGAUCCAGAAGGAGCCCACAGCUGUGCUGAAAGAUGAGGCCAUUGUUUUGCAUCUCACUCUGGGAAAGUAUAAUGAAUUUUCAGCUUCCCUUUUAAAUAAGGAUCCAAAGAGUCUAGAUAUAUUUAUAAAAGCUGUGCACACAACAAAGGAACUUUACACAGGAAUGCCAACCAUUCAAAUCACAGCCCUUGAAAAGAUUACAAAACCAUUUUUUGCAGCCAUAUCAGAUGAAAAAGUUCAGCAGAAGCUUUUAAGAAUGUUGUUUGGUUUAUUGGUGAACUGUAAAAACUCACAUUGUGCUCAGACUGUCAGCAGUGUUUUUAAAGGGAUUUCCGUUAAUGCUGAACAAGUCCGAAUAGAACUGGAGCCACCAGAUAAAGCUAAACCCUUGGGCACAGUUCAGCAAAAAAGAAGGCAAAAAAUGCAGCAGAAAAAAUCACAAGAUCUAGAAUCUGUUCAGGAAGUUGGAGGUUUGUACUGGCAAAGAGUAACUCUCAUCCUGGAAUUACUGCAGCACAAAAAGAAGCUCAAAAGUCCUCAGAUAUUGGUGCCAACUCUUUUUAACUUGCUAUCAAGGUGUUUAGAACCCUUGCCACAAGAGCAGGGAAAUAUGGAAUACACCAAACAAUUAAUUCUUAGUUGUCUGCUCAACAUCUGCCAAAAACUCUCUCCAGAUGGUGGUAAGAUACCCAAAGAUAUUUUAGAUGAGGAGAAGUUCAAUGUGGAGUUGAUAGUUCAGUGCAUCCGCCUUUCGGAGAUGCCGCAGACCCAUCACCAUGCCCUUUUACUUUUGGGCACUGUUGCUGGAAUAUUUCCGGAUAAAGUUCUACACAAUAUCAUGUCUAUUUUUACAUUUAUGGGAGCCAAUGUCAUGCGCCUAGAUGAUACUUACAGUUUUCAAGUUAUUAACAAGACAGUGAAAAUGGUUAUUCCCGCACUUAUUCAGUCUGAUAGUGGAGACUCUAUAGAAGUUUCAAGAAACGUUGAAGAGAUCGUGGUAAAAAUCAUUAGUGUAUUUGUGGAUGCACUGCCACACGUCCCGGAGCACAGGCGCCUGCCCAUCCUUGUUCAACUUGUUGAUACACUGGGUGCAGAGAAAUUCCUCUGGAUUCUCCUUAUCUUGCUUUUUGAACAGUAUGUCACAAAAACAGUGCUGGCGGCUGCCUAUGGCGAAAAGGAUGCUAUUUUAGAAGCAGACACUGAAUUUUGGUUUUCAGUCUGUUGUGAGUUUAGUGUCCAGCAUCAGAUACAAAGCUUGAUGAAUAUCCUCCAGUACUUACUGAAGCUGCCAGAGGAAAAAGAAGAAACCAUUCCCAAAGCAGUGUCUAAUAAGAGUGAAUCACAAGAAGAAAUGCUACAGGUUUUUAAUGUAGAGACUCACACUAGCAAGCAACUGCGGCAUUUUAAAUUUUUGUCAGUGUCCUUCAUGUCUCAGCUCCUGUCUUCCAAUAAUUUUCUGAAAAAGGUAGUUGAGAGUGGUGGUCCUGAGAUUUUAAAAGGCCUUGAAGAGAGGUUGCUGGAGACCGUUCUCGGCUAUAUCAAUGCAGUUGCACAGUCCAUGGAAAGGAACGCAGACAAACUCACUGUGAAGUUCUGGCGCGCCCUCCUUAGUAAAGCUUACGACCUGUUAGAUAAGGUCAAUGCCUUGCUGCCCACAGAGACAUUCAUUCCUGUGAUCAGAGGGCUGGUGGGCAAUCCCCUGCCAUCUGUUCGCCGGAAAGCGCUGGACCUUUUGAAUAACAAGCUACAGCAAAAUAUAUCCUGGAAGAAGACAAUAGUUACCCGUUUCCUAAAACUGGUUCCAGACCUUUUGGCCAUUGUGCAGCGUAAGAAAAAGGAAGGGGAAGAAGAACAAGCAAUCAACAGACAGACAGCGUUGUAUACCUUAAAGCUUUUAUGCAAGAAUUUUGGUGCAGAAAAUCCAGAUCCUUUUGUCCCAGUGCUGAGCACUGCUGUGAAACUGAUUGCUCCAGAGAGAAAGGAGGAGAAGAAUGUCCUGGGAAGCACGCUGCUGUGCGUAGCAGAGGUGACCUCCACCCUGGAGGCGCUAGCCAUCCCCCAGCUUCCCAGCCUGAUGCCAUCGUUGCUGACAACAAUGAAGAACACCAGCGAGCUGGUCUCCAGCGAGGUCUACCUGCUCAGUGCCUUGGCCGCUCUGCAGAAGGUUGUGGAGACUCUCCCGCACUUCAUCAGCCCCUAUCUGGAAGGCAUUCUCUCCCAGGUGAUUCAUUUGGAGAAAAUCACUAGUGAAAUGGGUUCUGCCUCACAGGCUAAUAUCCGUCUCACAUCUCUUAAAAAGACACUGGCUACCACACUUGCACCCCGAGUCCUGUUGCCCGCCAUCAAAAAAACUUACAAGCAGAUUGAGAAGAACUGGAAGAAUCACAUGGGUCCGUUUAUGAGCAUCUUGCAAGAGCAUAUUGGGGUGAUGAAGAAGGAAGAGCUCACCUCCCAUCAGUCUCAGCUAACCGCCUUUUUCCUGGAGGCCCUGGACUUCCGAGCCCAGCACUCUGAGAACGAUCUGGAGGAAGUUGGAAAAACAGAAAAUUGUAUCAUUGACUGUCUAGUAGCCAUGGUUGUCAAACUUUCCGAGGUCACAUUCAGGCCCCUGUUCUUCAAGCUGUUUGAUUGGGCUAAAACCGAAGAUGCCCCAAAGGACAGGUUGUUGACAUUUUACAACUUGGCAGAUUGCAUUGCUGAAAAGCUGAAAGGGCUUUUUACUCUGUUUGCUGGCCACUUGGUGAAGCCUUUUGCUGACACUUUGAACCAGGUGAACAUCUCCAAAACAGCAUUUUAUAAGUAAAGAGAGAGCAGAAGCCUUGAUGAUGCCUCUGGUGGAUCAGCUGGAAAACAGGCUUGGGGGAGAAGAGAAAUUCCAGGAACGGGUGACAAAGCACCUGAUACCAUGCAUCGCACAGUUUUCAGUGGCCAUGGCGGAUGACUGUCUUUGGAAACCACUGAACUACCAGAUUCUGCUAAAGACGAGAGACUCCUCGCCUAAGGUUCGAUUUGCUGCUUUAAUUACUGUAUUAGCACUGGCUGAAAAACUAAAAGAGAAUUAUAUUGUCUUGCUACCAGAAUCCAUUCCUUUCUUAGCAGAGUUGAUGGAAGAUGAAUGUGAAGAAGUAGAACAUCAAUGCCAAAAGACAAUUCAGCAACUGGAAACUGUCCUGGGAGAGCCACUCCAGAGCUAUUUCUAAGACUUUCUAUGGUGUUUCGUACUCUACUCACAGUUCAGACUCGUUUUUCAUAUUUUUAUUUUUGGGUGUUGGGUGCCAUGUUAAUUUUGGUGCCUUAAUACACCUACCUGGAUUACUUACAAAUGUUUGAUCACUUCUUUACAAAAUUCCCACCUGGUUUGUGCUGCCACAUAAGCCUCUCCUGCCUAUUGUAUACAGCUGCAGAAAGAGUAAAUGAUACAUGGUAUUUUUAUACAGACUGCUGUGUUUGUUUAAACAUUUAUUAUUCUCUUCCUGAUUGAUGGUAAUAAUAUUAGACUUGUUAAUUUUAGCACCCAAAGCUGAUGCCUUAUUUGCACUGUAAGCCUUAACUCUUCUGUACAGCAAUAUCUUAAUAUACAUGGUAUCCGUGUUGCAGAUUUCACUCAAAGUUGCUCUAUUUCAAGAAAAUGAAGUUAUUUAGCAAUCAACAGAAAUACAUUUGACCGUAAAGCCUACUUUUCAUUUUGGGUAGGCGAACUUCAGCCUUCAUUUCUUUGUUGUGCCUAUAAAAAGAAGUGGUUCUGGAAUGCUUUUUUUUUUAACCCAGGAGUGUGACUCACCUUUAUCCUUUGUUCUUUUUGGGAAACGGGAGAGAUGAAGGCAAUACGCUGCUUCUAAAACAGCUCACACCUGGCUGCUCACACAGAGGGCCCAGAAACACUGGGUGGCACGAGGAAGCUCCUCCAGGAUUAAGAAUGAACCCAGUUCCAUUGGUGGUUAACUAAGAAUUACUUGUCUAACAAAGUAAGUAUCAGUAGAUUUUUUUCAAUGCUUUGAAGUGCCCUAAUCUCUAAUACUGGGUCAUGGUGAAGUUGGAAAGUGAGGGCUCAAAUAAAAUUAAAUCUGCCCCCUUUUUAAAGGCAUCUAAGAACAAUCCCGUAGAAUGUUCACAUUGAGUUUAAAAGCCUUUGAAACGAAUAUAGAAGUUUAAUGCAGAAAUGUGGCAAGCAAAAGGCCAACUUGCAGUUUAGAGACAGAGCUUGCUAGUAUAGAAGUGUGUAUUUCUAAGAAAUGUCUCAGUAAAAUUCAUUAAUAAAUACUAAUAGCUUUUUAAAUUUUUUUACUCCAUGUAAAAUGAAAAUGAACUUAAGACUUAUAAGGAAUGAUGUGAGUGGGCUAUUUUUUUCCUAAAUGCCUCACAGUCUCCAACCGCUCAGUUAAGCACUCUGAUGGUCUUUAUGAAGAAAAAUAACUCUGGGGGAUUCUCGAGUCUUCUUGCCUUCUACGGCUUUCCCUGUGGCACCCCCCCCACCCCCAACCAGUGUCUUUGAGCUUGGUGAGACUCUGCAUAAAUUAACAUGAAAAGAAUUAAGGGCUAGUGAUUUCUACAGUGAGUACUUUUUAAAAAAUAAGAUUGACAAUGGUAUUCUUUUCAAUAUAUGGAUAGAAAUAAUAUCUAACUAAAAUCUGUUCUGAAAAUAUUCCUAAAUCCUGGCGGAGUUCUGCCCCAGUCUAAUGUGAUAAAAUGAUCCUCACUGACUGAGCUUUUUUCCCUCCCCACUCCCAAACCUUUGAAAUUUCCUGUAACAAGAUCUGACUUGUAAAGAUCCCAUAUUCAUGGAACUUCUGCCAACUCCCCUCAAAUAAUAGAAAAAUCACAGAAAUGCAGCCAUUUAACUUGCUGAUACAGGUUUGAUUUUAAUCACGUAAAGCGGAAGAGUGCUUUGAUCUCAGUUGCUAAUGAUGAUGGAUAAUAAUCUUUUGAAGAACAGAGGCCUUGAGUGGUGAUUUCAUGGAAACAAAACAGAUUUCUGCAUUACCUCUGCCUGCUUUGUGGGUCCCUUAGUUGACGUAUACUUUCUGAUAGUGCCUGCCUUAUGAAUCCCUGACGUCUAAUCCUGACCUUACUUUGUUGCCCAUAAAUCUCUUUCAAAUUGAA